rnacentral:rRNA from 1 species
UUGGACUUUGGGUUGGGUCGGCCGGUCCGCCCUCUGGGUGUGCACCGGUUUACUCGUCCCUUCUGUCGGCGAUACGCUCCUAGCCUUAAUUGGCCGGGUCGUGCCUCCGGCGCUGUUA